GCAGCCAAGUCGUGAGGCGGAGCUAAUCCCCUUAAAGCCAUUNUCAGUUCGGAUUGUAGGCUGAAACUCGCCUACAUGAAGCUGGAGUUACUAGUAAUCGCAGAUCAGAAUGCUGCGGUGAAUGCGUUCCCGGGUCUUGUACACACCGCCCGUCACACCACGGAAGUUGGGGGCGCCCGAAGCCACUUAGCUAACCCUUUUGGAAAGCGAGUGUCGAAGGUGAAAUCAAUAACUGGGGUGAAGUCGUAACAAGGUACC
rnacentral:rRNA from 1 species